rnacentral:lncRNA from 1 species
AUGCCUUUUAUAAGAAAUGGGCAGAUUCUAGCAGUAUUUGUGAGAAAAACUGGUGGAUCCUGCAGAUUAACUAUGGACAGCCAAAUAUUGAGUAAAGUGAUGUCUACAACAGCAUCAGCUAUGCCUGAUAUGGUGUUAAUUCACAUUGUGAAGGUUGGUAUGUACCCAAUUGUGACUAAACCAAAAGAAACAAAUCUGGAAACUGAAGUACCAAUACAUGAAAAGCGUUCUUUUGGUAUUGGGAGUGCCAGUUGUCUUUGUUUCAUGAACUACUUCUCCGUAAUAGCACGCAGCCAUCUUUAG